GUUCCUUUAGAUUCCAGAUCCUGGAGAGAAAUGCCACAGCAGGCCUGCACAUCAAGGGGAAAGACCUACAGGAACAGAAAGUGAAUGAAGGCCCUAAUCUUGGAAGCCCACCUAAUUUUUCUACUUCCUCCAAUGAAGUAAAAAGGGCACACUCAGAGUAUGCAUAGACCAUUCUUAUAAGACUUCAGUUCAACUGAAUUCAGCGGAGAUUUAUUAAAAGUCUACUACAUUUGAGGAACCAG
rnacentral:lncRNA from 1 species